rnacentral:rRNA from 1 species
GAUGCAUGCCUGCUGUUCGAGCGUCAUUAU